AAGCGCUUGUGACCAGACUUGGGCCCGGUCAAUCAUCCAGGGUUCUCCCUGGUGCACUUGGCCGGCCCAGGCCAGCAUCAGUUCGUCGCGGGGGAUAAAGGCGUUGGGAAUGUGGCUCCCCCGGGAGUGUUAUAGCCCUUCGUGCAAUACCCUGCUUUGGACUGAGGUUCGCGCAUCUUGCAAGGAUGCUGGCGUAAUGGUCAUCAGCGA
rnacentral:rRNA from 1 species